UACGUAGGUGGCAAGCGUUGUCCGGAUUUACUGGGCGUAAAGAGCGCGCAGGCGGUCGUUCAAGUCGCGUGUGAAAGCCCCCGGCUCAACUGGGGAGGGUCACGCGAUACUGAUCGACUCGAAGGCAGGAGAGGGUAGUGGAAUUCCAGGUGUAGCGGUGAAAUGCGUAGAUAUCUGGAGGAACACCGGUGGCGAAGGCGGCAUCCUGGACCGGUAUUGACGCUGAUGCGCGAAAGCCAGGGGAGCAAACGGG
rnacentral:rRNA from 1 species